rnacentral:rRNA from 1 species
CCUACGGGAGGCAGCAGUGAGGCAUAUUGGUCAAUGGACGAGAGUCUGAACCAGCCAAGUAGCGUGAAGGAUGACUGCCCUAUGGGUUGUAAACUUCUUUUAUAUGGGAAUAAAAUGUUCCACGUGUGGGAUUUUGUAUGUACCAUAUGCAUACGGAUCGGCUAACUCCGUGCCAGCAGCCGCGGUCAUACGGAGGCUCCGAGCGUUAUCCGGAUUUAUUGGGUUUAAAGGGAGCGUAGGUGGAUUGUUAAGUCAGUUGUGAAAGUUUGCGGCUCAACCGUAAAAUUGCAGUUGAAACUGGCAGUCUUGAGUACAGUAGAGGUGGGCGGAAUUCGUGGUGUAGCGGUGAAAUGCUUAGAUAUCACGAAGAACUCCGAUUGCGAAGGCAGUUCACUGGACUGCAACUGACACUGAGGCUCGAAAGUGUGGGUAUCAAACAGGAUUAGAUACCCUUGUAGUC